UGUAUAGCAMUUGCUAUUUGCAUUAAARAUUUUUAGUGUGAAAUCGACUAUGUCGAAUAAAAUUCUGGGUAGGAUUAUGAUAAUGACAUUAGCUAUUCAUAAGUCUUGACCAAAUUACGUGCCAGCAGUCGCGGCAAUACGUAGAAGACAAGUGUUAUUCAUCUUUAAUAGGUUUAAAGGGUACUUAGACGGUAAAUCAAGCCUUUAAAGGGGACUAGUUUGCUAGAGUUUUAUAUGAAGGGGUUUUAAAGUACUGCUGGUGUAGAGAUGAAAUUCAGUCAUACCUUGAUGGCACAGGUUAAGGCGAAGGCAUCUUCUUAUGUAAAAACUGACGUUGAAGGACGAAGGCUUUGUGUCUCGAACAGGAUUAGAUACCCUAGUAGUCUAAGCAGAAAAUGAUGAAUGUCAUAGAUUAGAUGUARUUUGAUCUAUAAAUGAAAGUGUAAGCAUUCCACCUCAAGAGUAAUUUGGCAACAUUGGAACUGAAAUCAUUAGACCGUUUCUGAAACCAGUAGUGAUGUAUGUUGUUUAAUUUGAUAACCCGCAAAAAACCUUACCACAACUUGAAUAGAUAUCUUUUAUCAUACAAGCGCUGCACGGCUGUUUUUAGUUAAUGUCGUGAGACUUUGGUUAGUUCCAUUAAAUUAACGUAAACCCUUACUUUAUUUUUAUAUAAAGUAGUUCACCGCUAUAUUGGAUGUGAUAACAGGGAUCAAGACAAGUCAUCAUGGCCUAAAUAUUGUGGGCUAUA
rnacentral:rRNA from 1 species